AUUUCUCGCUUUUGGCUAAGAUCAAGCGUAAGCGUAGUAUCUAUUCUUAUCAGUUUAAUAUUUGAUACGUGAGCAAUGGCCCACAUGAUAUUAAGUUGAUUUUUUCAGGGUUAGGGCCCAUAGCAGUGGCAUGCUACUGGGCCCUUGCGCGUCACCCAUGCGUUGCACUAUAGCAUGGGCCUGGAGUAGCCCAC
rfam:Morus notabilis contig3853, whole genome shotgun sequence.